GAAUUCUGCACUCUGGACUCCUACGGACCAAGAUGAUCAACUCUGAGGAAGAAAGGCAAUGAGGACGUUGCACAAGACAGUCCCUGAUACCCAGAGUUUACUGCCUAAGAGAGGAUACAUCCUUCAAACCAAUAAUCUGCUAAUAGCAAGAUCCAAUAGCUUCAUGGAUAUUGAAAGAAACUGAGAAUCAAAUUUGCAUACUUCUGAGUCACUUGGAAACAAAAAACAAGUACAGUCUUAGAUUCUGAGGGAACAAAAAUUAAAAAUCACAUUAGGAAGAGAAUUCCUAAUGUAGGAACUCAUCCUGGAAGAUUCUUCAGCAAAAGUACAGACAAUAAUAAUAAUACUCCAUGAAGUUACCAUCGAUAUUGAAUGAAUUAAUGAAUGUAAAAACCUCAAAACCCUGCCUGGCCCAGAGCUUUGGAAUGGGUUUGGAUCUACCACUCAACUGCUUUAUGACUUCAGACCAGUUAUUUAAAUUCCCUGAAGCUCAGUUUCCACAUCUUUGAGUUUUUAUUAAUGACCUGCCGACAUCAUACAGUUCAUGAAAUGCUCUGGAUGUGUACAUGCUGAUGAUACGACCUCAGACCCAGCAAGAGCUCAGUGCAGCCCGGAGAGCUGUGAGCAGUGCCACAGGAGGAGAUGACUGGUGAGUGAAAUAAGCAAGAUAGGAGUUGAAGUGUACAUGAAGCAGAGUCCAAGCCUUCUCCUUCUGGAUGUUCAGCUGGAUCAUCCUGACUGCUCCCACUUUCAUCUUGGCUUUCAAAGGCAAGAGGAAAUUAUAAGGAAUAUUCUGAGUGGCUUUCAUCCAGGAGUUCUGUGGGACCCGCAACACCUGGAUGGUAGAUGCAAACAGAUAAAGAAUAUUGGUCACCAAAAGGAGUUCUUUUCAUCAUAGAUCUCUGAAGGUAGACACCUAUUUGCAGACUUCUCAAAGGGCUAUAUGGAUGUGCUCUACUUGUUGGAGGAUUGUCCAUCCACUCUUCUUCCUGUACUUACCAGGACAGAACAGCCGCAACUUCUCAGACAGUUCAUUCUUCUUUUCCUCACCUACUACCAUCUAAGAAAGGUACUUGAUGACUGUGGCUUUAGACAAGAGUCCUUUUCUUACCACAGGGUGGGCAGCACCAGCUCAUUAGAACCAUUUGUGUGACUGACUGAAGACAGCUCACCUUGGAACACUGCAGAAUAUGGCGUAAGUGACAUUUUACAAGUUCCAGAGCCUGGGACUCAAGAUGUCUUGGAGAUUCUGUCUUUGCAGUCUUAUAAUGAUGCCCUGAGAUCAUCAUUAAAGAAAGCCAGUCUGGCCUACUGAGGAUGAGAAGCUACAUAAAGGAGAAUGAAGAUUCCCCAGCCAACAGGCAAUAUCAGUGGUCAGAUAUGUGAAUAAAGCCAUGUUGAACCUCUCGGCUAGACGACCCUCCAGCAUAUGAAACCAGCAGAUGAAUAUCCCAGCCUGCCUGAAGAACUGUACAGGAAAUAAGAAAUCAUUGUUUUUUAAGCCACUGGGUUGGUGGGUGGUUUGUUACAUUGAAAUUGUUAACUAAAACAGAAAUUGGUGCAUAGAGGUCAGGUGCUGUCAUAAUAAAAAUCUAAAACAUAUACUGUUGGCUUUGGUGAUGGGAGUGAUUGGUAGCUAAAGAGGCAGUGAAACAAUGAUUAGUAGAUACUGGGAAGUUAAUAAGGAAAUUUCUAUUGGAGGGUGGAGAAAGGGCCACCCUUGUUAUAUAGUGGCCAAAGAAUCAGCAAAAUGUUGCCUGCUGCAACCUGGAAAGUAGAAACUUUUCUUAAACUCACGGAUCUGGCUGGGAGAUUUCCAGGAUGCAUGCAACAAAUGUGAAUCAACUUUGUAUAGCUGUGUAUAAUAAAGUGUGCUGUAUUUGUCCAUUCUGAUGCUGCUAAUAAAGACAUACCUGAGACUG
rnacentral:lncRNA from 10 species